AGGACGUGCAGCUCCGGAGCCUGCGCGGGCGACCUUGACCACCUUUGUCGGCUGUUUCCCCCUGAGGGAAGUAUACCUGUCCUGCCAGCCUUGGUCUCUGGCAGGGAAGGUCCUUCCAACAGAGAGGGGUGCGCACGAAUUCCUUUUUGCCGCUCUUCUAUUAAUAGUUUGAGAUUUUCCUCCCCGAUUCCUUGCAGAGAGGGCCUGGUCCUCAAGGACCUCGGGAUCUGGGCGCGACGUCCCUUCCCAGCUUCCUCCCGCGCGCACCGGACCAGAUCUUGCUGUCGUCAGCUGGCUGGUACCCAAAGUUCCUCUUCGUCAGGCUGUUCCUUCCCCGUUAGAGUCCUUCCUCCCCAGGAGCCCUCUCCAUCUGCUGACCUUCAAGACCCAGAGCGAAUGCCACUUCAUCCAUGAAGCCUUCCCUUAACCCUUAUCUGGCCAAAAUGUCUCUUUCCUGUGCUUCUGUACUUUCACAAUUUUAGAAAAUGCCUUUGUGGUUAAAAACCUAUCUCCGGGACCGGACUAUCUAGGUUUAGAUUCUGGCUGCCGCUUACGAAUUUGGGCAGGUUUAGUCAAGUUAUUUUAACCUCUCUGUGGAAGUUCCUGCUCUGUGGAAAUAAUAGUAUUUUCCUCAGAGUUGGUGUGGGGAGUUUGUGAGUUAAUACAUUUACGAAGUGGUUAGUUGCAUGUAAGAAGGACUCUCUAAAUGUCAGCUAUUAUUAACAUUGCAUAUCUGCCACACCCUUCAUAGAUGGUAAACUGCUUUUUUUUUUUUUUUUACUUUUAUUUUAGGUUCGGGAUACAUGCACAGGUUUGUUUUAUAGAUAAAUUGCUUGUCAUGUGGGUUUGUUGUACAAAUUAUUUUGUCACCCAGAUAGUAAGCAUAGUACUUGACAGGUAUUUUUUCUGAUCCUCUCCCUCCUCCCACCCUCUAGCCUCAAGUAGGUCCCAGUGUCUGUUGUUCUCUUCUUUGUGUCCAUGUGUUCUCAAUGUUUAGCUCCCACUUACAAGUCAGAACAUGCAGUAUUUGGUUUUCUCUUCCGCAUUAGUUCACUUAGGAUAAAGGCCUCCAGCUCCAUCCAUGUUGCUACAAAGGACAUGAUCUCUUUCUUUUUUAUGGCUGCAUAGUAGUCCAUGGUGUAUAUGUACCGUAUUUUCUUCAGUCUACUGGUGAUGGGCAUUUAGGUUGAUGCCAUGUCUUUACGAUUGUGAAUAGUGCUGCAGUGAACAUACAUGUACAUAUAUCUUUAUGGUAGAAUGAUUUAUAUUCUUUUGGGUAUAGACCCAAUACUGGGAUUGUUGGGUCGAAUGGUAAUUCUGUUUUAAGUUCUUUGAGAAAUCGCCACACUGCUUUCCGCGGUUACUGAACUAAUUUACAUUCCCACCAGCAUUGUAUAAGCAUUCCCUUUUCUCCACAACCUCACCAGAAACCAGCAUCUGUUAUUUCUUGACUUUUAUUAAUAGCCAUUCUGACUGGUGUGAGAUGAUAUCUCAUUGUAGUUUUGAUUUGGGUUUCUCUAGUGAUUAGUGAUGUUGAGUAUUUUAUAUGCUUGUUGGCCAUGUAGCUUCUUUUGGCUAGGGACCUGUGAGUCUCCCUAGGUUUCUUGCACUUACUAAGCCUUCAACAAAUGGUAGAAGAGUCAAUUCUCUUGGUGUUUCAGAAGAAAACAAUAUCACAGCCCCUCUCCACUGGAUAAUACUAUAAAUCUUAAAAUGAAUUUUCAUUCAGAGUAAUAAACACAAGCCAAAGAACUUUGUAUAACAUCCGUCAACUUUUUGUGUUAUCUAUUUCUUUUCCAAAACAUUGCCUCUGGUUUUAAAGGUAACUGCCCACAGUGUUUCACUAAUAACAUUUUAAGCAUUACAAGUUCAACACUGAAGGUCAAAUGACAACGAACUUUCAGUGCUUCCAAAAGCAGGGGCAGAGGGCAACUGCUGAGGGGGGCAUUGUAUAGCCUAACCUUCCCAGAAUUUGAUUUAAAAGUAUGAUCUUCACAGCGUUGGCCAGCAAUAUCAUGGUCACUCCCUACGUCAUUCCCUGGGAGAAAAACAACCCUAGGUUACCUAAACAAUGUUGGCGAAGACCAAAUAUUUAUUAACAUCCUAAGCCGCCCCAUAAUCAAGCCAAUGCUGAUAGGGACAAAGAAGGUGCCAUGUGCAGUUUUUCUCCAUGUCCCCACAAUAUCUGCUCUGAAUUUUAAAAGGCAAUUACUGGGGGAGAAGGAAGCCUAUAUAUUAUGUAGGAUCCAAGUCUCAAACUGCUUUCCUAGGGAGUGUGAGGUUCUUGGAGAUUAAGUGCAGUACCUUUCUGUCUUGAGCCUUGUAGGCUGCCCCUCUAAUUUAAUGCCAGUCUUGAAAUAAACAGAAUGCUUUCCAAGUCAUCGCUAAUUUUAACACUUUAAAUUUAGAAUUGCUUAGAAUUGACUCAACACUGCCUCCUUGCUGAAUGGAUAAUUCAAGCAAACAACUCAAGAGCUGGAUGCUGCCCAGACAGGUAGGCAGCCAGAUAAAGUGAGUGUCCAGGGAAAGAGCAGUAAGGGUCAGAAGAGAAAGAGCCUGGUGUUCUCACUGCCUCCUGCCUUCCUUAUGACUGUCUGUUCAGAAGUCCUCCUAGCAUCUUUCUUCUGCCUUCCCCUGCUCCUGUCCCUGAAACCUUUUCUUCAAAAGAAGUGGAAAAGAGGAACUGGGAACCCAUAUAGCAACAGCAUCACCUGGAAUGAAUUCCUUUAGAACAUACUGUCUUGGAAAUCUGAAGCCUGCAGGGCUGGACAGGCAAGAAGAGCAGUGAGCACUGCAUGAACCUCACCCUUGAACUUCUAUAUGGUCUCCAAAGACAUGAUAAAUACAGAGAUUGCUCUCUCCUCUCAACUGCAACAGUAAUGAUUCCUUUGCAUUUUAAUUAAGUCUUUUACACAUGAAUAAGUCUUUAUCCUCAAAUGGACUAAAGACUCCUCGAGGACAAGAACUAUCCUUCAGUCCCAUACAUUGGUUACCUGGCAAAGGACCCUAAAUGCAGAUUAUGAAGUAGCUAUGGAAUUUGAAUGGGUUGAUUCUUCAGCUCCCAGAAAAAAACUUUGAUUGGUUUAACUGGCCACAGUAAUUGAUGUGGGAAUGAGGCCCUGACAUAAUUUCAACUUAGAAGACAUGUUCACUGGAAGUGAACUAGGAAGCAUGAAGUCUCAGACAUUCGACACUGAAAGAAUAAGCAGUCUUAGGAUGAAGGCAGUGCUAUGGACACCAGAACUCCAUGGUUCAGGCUGUUCAGCAUCAACUGUUCCUGACAGCCACCCUAACGUGCCUCCAGUUUCCUGGGCCAACAGAUGCCUGUCAUUGUUGAAGUUUCUUUGAGUUGGGUCUUCCGUUACUUACAAUUUAAAUCACCCUCACUGAUUACUAUGUACUUAAUUGUUCUCCUCCACUCUCUGCCAAUCCAUAUGCUGAAGCCUUAACCCCCAACGUGAUAGUAUUUGGAGACUGGAACUUUGGGAGAUAAUUAGAUUUAGAUGUGGUCAUGAGGAUGGGACCUUCAAGAUGAGAAUAGUAUCCUUAUAAAAAGUGGUACUAGAAAGCCUCUCUUUCUCUCUCUCUGCCACGUAAGAACACAGCAAGAAGGCAGCCAUCUGCAAGCCAGGAAGAGAGCCCUUACCAGAACUUGACCAUGCUGACACCCUGAUCUCAGAUGUGCAGCCUCCAGAACUGCAAAAAAGACACAUUUUCAUUGUUUAAGCUACCUAGUUUAUGGUAUUUUGUUACAGCAGCCCAAUCUGACUAAUACGCUGAUACAGGCAUAUUAGGGUACAUGCCACCAGCAGAGUGGUUCAACUGCAGGUCCACACUUACCCAGUGAAGGUGACUCAGCCUAGAGUGUGACUCAGUCUCUUCCCAACCCUGUCCGCAUCACCCCUGGAAGAGUCAGCUCCUCCCACAACUGCAGUCCUGACAGCAGCAUCAUGCCUCUGAAAUGAUCUUGCAAACAAGCUGUCAUUGGAGUGCUGAGAGAGUGGCAAUAUCAACUAAAAACAUGAAGAAGAAGAGCAACAAAGAGGAGGAAGAGGAGGAGAAGAGGGAAAGAAGUGAGGCGCUGUGGUGAAGAAUAGUACUUCUCAUCUCCACCAGAACAGCAGAGAACAAUGAAAGCACACCAUCAGGACGUCUCAGGGUACAGCCAGAAAAGCCAUUACCAUUUGUGCCAAUAUCUUUGAAAUCUUGUAUUUUGUCAUAAAAAGUUAUGCAGUUUCUGUAUUCUACUUCAUCAUGUGCCUUUAUAUUUUUUAUAUCAAAAUGUCUCCCUAAAAACCUUUGAGAAGGGCCAUUUUAUCUCAAAUCUUUGAAAUAAUUUCCUAGUCCCACCAUGCUUGCCCUGAGAUGUUCACACCCCAAUAUGAGAAGCACAUGUACAUCAGAAAGAGGACUGGACUUAGAGUUUUAAAUCUAAGUUCUUUUCCAAUACCAUGCUUUCCUAGUCUUGAUCUUGAAAAAUCACUCAUCAUCUUUAAGCUUCUCUUUCGUCAUGAGUGAAAGAAAGGAUGACACCAACACCUUCUCUCCCUUUCUCAUAGAAGCAUCAAGCUCCAAGUAGUUAAUGUGAGAAAAAGGACUUGGGAGAACAGGAAGCUCUGGCCUUUUUGUUGUGUAGGGUAUUUUCCCAAGAAUACUUUGGAAGUUUCCUUUAAUUUGUUCUUGGACUAACCUUUCCUAUUCACUCUGAUACCUUUUUGUUCAACCCUUGUAUCUGUGCAUGGAAGAGCACAGGAGGCAAAAAGAAUAAGGAUUUAUAGUCACUUGUCAAUAGGCGUGGAAGAGAAGUCAGAUUCUUAUUUAUUUGAGAUAAAGUCUAGCUCUGUUGCCAGGAUGGAGUGCAGUGGUGUGAUUUCUGCUCACUGCAACUUCCACCUCCUGGGUUCAAGUGAUUCUCCUGCCUUAGCCUCCCUAGUAGCUGAGAUUACAGGUGUGUACCACCACUCUCGGCUGAUUUUUGUAUUUUUAGUAGAGAUGGGGUUUCACCAUGUUGACCAAGCUGGUCUCGAACUCGUGACCUCAAAUGAUCCACCUACCUCGGCCUCCUAAAAUGCUAGGAUUACAGGCAUGAGCCACCGUGCUUGGCCAGAUUCUUAUUCUUGAGGUGACCUCUAUAUCCCUUCGUUCCCUUCAUGUCUGUAUCUUCCACCCUUAUCAUGGCAUCUCAAGUUUCCCUACUUAAGAGAAUCUGAGCCUGUAUCCCUCAUACUUGCCUUAUGGACAAAUCACCUGGGAUACAGGAAGGCAAGUGACUUCCAUCUGCAGUAACAGCUCUGGUUCAUUGGUUGCUUAGAACAUUACAUUGAGAAGAAUCACUCAAUGGGAAAGAAUAUAGAUGGGUUGGAGAUGUCUGCACAGACAGGGAAGUGAGAACAGCCACAUUUGUGGCAUCACUAGCUGUCCUUGGUUGACAGGCUCAAGAUGAGUCAACUCAGAAAAGUGUUGGACGGGCACGGUGGCUCAGGCCUGUAAUCCCAGCACUUUGGGAGGCCAAGGAGAGCAGAUCACUUGAGGUCAGGAGUUCGAGACCAGCCUGGCCAACAUGGUGAAAUCCUAUCUCUACUAAAAAUACAAAAAUUAGCUGCGCGUGAUGGCAACCUAUAAUCCCAGCUACUUGGGAGGCUGAGGCAGGAGAAUCGUAUGAACCUG
ensembl:lncRNA GOT1-DT GOT1 divergent transcript